CGUUAAUAUGCUAAUGAGGUGAUUCAUUCUCCGCCAAUCCCUGGAGGACAAGUAGUGGGGUGAUCCAAGCCCCACCAAUCCCUGAGAGAUAAUUAGCAUACUGUUGUCUAUAUAAGCCGAGCGAUUUUGCUGCUCGGAGUCCCUGUUCAGAAGAGCUGUAACACUAAGAAGAGCUGUAACACUGAGAAGAGCUGUAACACUAAGAAGAGCUGUAACACAGUAAAGGCUUGCUCGCAGAAGAAUCCUGUUGCCGCACGUCGUUCUUGCUGGUGGGACAUUGGGCGCGCGACAAGUGGUGCCGAGACCCGGAAACCAACAUCGCCGGUGCCGAGGGGACCCUUCAGUAUGCUGAAGAGGAUUCAGAACUGCGAGAAGAAUCAAGAAAAUCCAAUUUGGGUACCUGAGCGUUUGACUCGAAGAUUGCCUUCUGCUCUUCCUGAAGAUGAGACUACGAACCCUACUAUUACUACUGGGAAUGAAUGUUCAUGCUGUGUUACUUCUUUGAACCCAAGCAUCAUAACAUAUGAAGAAACUCAGCCAUUAGGAAGGAAGAACUCCAAGCCAGAUGCAAGCCUUACACGGAACUGAGACGCGACAGUUGGGUUCCCAGCUGAGAGCUACCAUCAACUGUCAACCAGGUGGAAGAACUAUGUUUAAAGCCUUAUCUGGCCCUAAUAUAACAGACGUUCCAGCAACCAUCACAUAAAGAACGAAAGUGACUUUAGUCCAUCCCGAGAACUGUAAGAAAAACCAUUACUGAUGUAAGUGGAGAUGCUGUGUUAGCAAUAGGAAACAAAAGUUGUGUAUUACUGCAUAGAAAGCAAAGCAUUGCAGUGCCAUUUUCAAUGGAUUUAUGACACAUUGCGUCAUUCUUCCACCAUCGUCCUUUAUUUUUGUACCAUAAGAAGAAUUUCACUAAGUUAAAAAAAAAAAAAAGGGAGGGGCUUUGCAAAUCUAAAGGGACAGAGGAAGCUCCAUGAACACAGCUGAUCAGAACGAUUCGAAGGCAGACAGAUUCCUGAGUUCCAGGUCAGCCUGGGAUGCAGCAAGUUAGGGCCCAAGAGUGAUAGAAGUGGUAAUUUCAGGACAGGGUCCCAUCCAGCUGGUUUAUCAUCUGUGUUUAACAGAGGCAAGGAAGACCUCUGAAUUCUUUUGCAAUGUUAAAAAACAAAAAUAAACAUGCUUGCUGUCCCCUAAGAAUUAAGGCUCUUUGGUCACUGUAUGCUGAUUCUUAGGAUAAUCUAAAAGGGAACAUGGAAUACAUAUGUAAGUAAGAAGCUGGGCUUUGGCCUGCAUGAGAUGAGAUAUUUCUAGGGAGAGCCUGAGCUCUCAGGAGAUCACUGGAGGGCGAAAACAGCUCUUCCAGAAUUUUUUCUGAAUAGUAUUUCUGACUUGGUCAGACAAUCCAAUAAUUUUUUAUAGCUGUUUUUCUGACUUUGGUCAGAAAACACAUGAGCUUUCCAG
rnacentral:lncRNA from 1 species